rnacentral:tRNA from 1 species
GGGGGUGUAGCUCAGUGGUAGAGCACAGGCACAAGGUCCUGGGUUCAAUUCCCAGUACCCCCA